CCCGGCGCCCACUUCCGGUCAUCGGUGCCCUCCCAAUGCCAGCUUCCGGUCCCACAGCCUGUUUCCGGCCCGGCGACCUCACAUCCGGCGUGUGGAAGCGGGGUCGCGGAUCCCAAACCAUUUGGGGACGUGUUCAGGUCUUGGGAGCCAGGCGUGGUGGCUCAAGCUACUCGGGAGGCUGAGGCAGGAAGAUCGUUGCGAGUUCGAGAUCAGCCUGGGCUACAAAAUGAGCUCCAAGGCCAGCCUGAACUGCAUAGUGAGACCCUGUCUCAAAAUGAUAAAAAAAAAAAAAAAAAUUAAAUAAAUAAAAACAAGAUCUUGGGGCCAGGGGUUUAGCUCAUUGGCAUAAGCGCUUGCCUGGCAAGAGCAAGCUCAAGAGUUAGAUCCCUGGUACCAAAAACACCCAAAAAACUAAGAUCUUGCUGUAUAGACCAACUGGCUCUCAAAUUCUCAAAUCCUCCAUCUCAGCCUCCUAAAUGCUAGGAUUCUAAGUGCAGACCACAGCAGUUUGGAGUGGAUUGUCUCUAUUUCAAAAAUUAAAGUUAUUGUCAUAGUCCAGGUCCCCCCCCACCCCCCGGUUUUGUUUUGUUUGGUUCUAGAGAAAAAAACAAUGCCUCGAGCUUGCCAGGAAGGCACUUAAGCAAAUGAGCUAAAUCCCAGCCUCACCAGGUUUCUUUUUUUCUUUUUUUUGGCUAGUUCAAGCUAGUUCUAGCUAGUUCAAGAUGACCUCAUGUCCAGGGGGCAUUGAACUCCCCCAGCCUUGUGCCUUGGCUUCUCAAGUGAGUCUUGGAGCAGUUUUCUAUGUCCACAUAGAAACCCAUCUCCAGAAUGCGUGUUGUUUCUUCUGACCCAGUUCUUUCCAUCAAAUCUUGGCAAGGAGGUGUUCAGGCAACCCAUCCCUGGAAAGAGCUGAAGAACUUCUUCCAAGCUAGGGUACCCUAUGGGACUCCCUCCCUCCAAGCCAUUCUGAACUUCAUUUCUCAUAUAAUAGCCUCUAAGACAUGUAUGUGUUCAGUGUACAGAAUGGAAGAAUGUAUUUCCUGUCACACAAUGGGAGGUUUUAUUUAACCAAUACACAAUCAUAAGGUUUUAAUACAAAUGCUCAGUAUUGAGAUCAGGGAUACCUCAGCCUUUCCCCUUGAUUAUCUCCCUAUAGUUGAAACACUCAAAAUCCUUUCUGUAGUUUUUACAUAUAUUUAUAUAGAUGUAUAUAAAUAUAUAUCACCCUGCUGUGGGUAGCACACUACUGUAAUCCUAGCACUCUGGGAGGUUAAGGCAGGAGGAUCCCACAGUCAGUCCCAGUUUAGGUAAUUUAGCAAGACCCCAUUUCAAAAUAAAAAGAGGCCCUGGGUUGUUGUACCAUAAAAAUGAAGGCUCAUCUCAAGUCACUCUCUUGUGCAUCGUGACUUUUUCCCACCAGAUAAUUAACUUUUCCUUUCUCUGCCUCCCCAAAAUGGGAGGUUUGGGAGACAGGGUAUCCUGUCACCUGGGGUAUCGGGAACUCCUAGGCUCAGGCAGUCUUCCUGCCUCAGCCCAGAGUAGCUCCAGCUACAAGCUAGCACGUAGUCCAACAGAAUUUCUAGGCUAGGGAUAUAACUCAAUGAGAAGAGUGCUAGCCUAGUACACAUGAGACCAUGAGUUCCAUCCCUAGCCUUACCAAAGAAAAAAGAAUGUUAAAUGGGGAGUGGUGGCAUACACCUAUAAUCCCAGUACUGGUGAGGCAGGAAAAUCUAAGCCAGUCUGAGCUACAUAGUUUUUUUGUUGUUGUUUUUUUAAAAUCAAUUUUAUUUAAUAAUAAAGGAAAAAACCUACAACAAAACUUCAAAGCACAGCAAUCAGGGGACAACAAUGGUACAUACAUUGUGCACUGUCAUCCUCAAAUCAUGGGCUAGUGAGUCCAGGCCAGCCCAAAUCACAUAGUAAGAUCCUGUCUCAAAAAAAAAAAAAAGGUGUGUGGAAGCCAGGUAUGGUGGCACACACCUGUAACCCCAGCAUUCAGGAGGCUGAGGCAGGAGAAUCAUUGCAAGUUCAAGACCAACCUGGGCUACAAAGUGAGUCCUAGGCCAGCUGAAACUGCACAGCAAGACCGUGUCAAAAAGACAAAAAACAAGUAUGGGCACUGACCUGAGAGCUAUUUUGACCCACAGAUACACAGGAAGCCCUGGUCCACACACACCCACUAGGCCUGCUAAAUCUAGCCCUCCUGAGAGUGUGUACCAAGCAGAGGGAAACUGGUGUGGGUUUGUUUUGCUCAAAUGGAGUGGCUUGUGCCGAAGCCAGAUGAAAAUAUUAGGCGCUGGGCCUUCUAGGCUACAUCACUACAACCAGAAUUCAGAUCCUGAAAAUUUUGUGUAGUUUAUCUCUUUAUUGUUUCUUUUAUCAAAACCUGUCACAGUUGGGGCCAAAGAGGUUAAAAAAAAAUCCCCCAGCCCCCACCCUGUUUCCCCAUUAAUCCUCCCAACACCCACCCGGGCUUCAGGCCAAACCUGGGCACACAUGAUCCUCUCCCCCACCCCAUCUUCCCACAGCAAUAAAUACAGGUGACCAUGAUUCCAUCAAGCCACAACCAAUUUCUCCAUCUUGAACACUCCAAGGGGACCCUAAAGGAGUAAGUUUAAUGUCCACUCCUUAACUUGAGGAGCCGUGGAAACACUUUCUCCAGGGACAGAGAGGCAGCAGUGACUGCCCCAGAAGAGCCCAGCCACUCUGCCAGGAGGAGGUGGGAGGGAGCAGUUGUCAGCCCAAUGGGGGCCUGUCAGGGCAAUCCCAGCCCCCUCAGCAGGUGAGAUCCCUCCCUCAGCAGGUGAGCCAUCCCAGGACAGCUUCGGGCAGGACAGUGCCAGGGAGAAGCAGUACAGAGAGAGGGCAGCCAGAUGGGCAGAGGAAAGGAGAGGAAGAGCCUUUAGCCCAUACCCUCAGUGGUGUCUUCAAGGCAUCAACAAGGAGGGGACAGCUGAAGUCCUCAGAGAAGCAGGAUGGUGGGGAAAGGGGAGUGCAGGGAGGUCAGGUCAUAGAGAAGCCCGGAGUCCAGGGCCAGCCAUUUGUCGGGGCCAGAUGUCUAGGAGAGGGAAGGUGAGGCCGGGGACAGGCCAGACUCAAGGCAGAAGGUGACUCCCCCACCCCCACCCCUGCCCUGGGUUAUCGCAG